rnacentral:rRNA from 1 species
GAUGAACGCUGGCGGCGUGCCUAAUACAUGCAAGUCGAGCGAACAGACGAGGACCUUGCUCCUCUGACGUUAGCGGCGGACGGGUGAGUAACACGUGGAUAACCUACCUAUAAGACUGGGAUAACUUCGGGAAACCGGAGCUAAUACCGGAUAAUAUAUUGAACCGCAUGGUUCAAUAGUGAAAGACGGUUUUGCUGUCACUUAUAGAUGGAUCCGCGCGGCAUUAGCUAGUUGGUAAGGUAACGGCUUACCAAGGCAACGAUGCGUAGCCGACCUGAGAGGGUGAUCGGCGACACUGGAGCUGAGACACCGUCCAGACUCCUACGGGAGGCAGCAGUAGGGAAUCGUCCGCAAUGGGCGAAAGCCUGACGGAGCAACGCCGCGUGAGUGAUGAAGGUCUUCGGAUCGUAAAACUCUGUUAUUAGGGAAGAACAAAUGUGUAAGUAACUAUGCACGUCUUGACGGUACCUAAUCAGAAAGCCACGGCUAACUACGUG